UCCAUGGUGGCUCAGAUGGUAAAGAAUCUGCCUGCGAUGCAGGAGACCCGGGUUCAAUUCCUGGGUCAGGAA
rnacentral:tRNA from 1 species